AAGUAACACUCUGUGGCAGACAAAAAGUUGUUUGACACAAUUUAAACUUGCAGACAAUAAGUAAGUCUAACCUAUUCCAGUGGUCUCUCUUAAAUGAGACCAUCUGUUAUAUAGGCUCAAACAAU
rnacentral:snoRNA from 15 species